ensembl:lncRNA
AUGGCCCCAAGAAAUGCGCGUAACAAUUUCUACAUUUUGGGCUCCGGUAGCGGGAAUGGCAACGCUGGGACCAAAGGCAUGUCGGAAUGGAUAGGCUUGUCCUUGUGCCGAAAAUGUGUUGACUUGAACGGAGUGUGGACCAGGUGUCUGAUAUCUGUUGGAAUUACAUUGCUUCUGGUGCCGUCCAUAUUUGCCAUAGACGAUGAAGCAAGACUCGAGGCGUCAGGACAACCCCUCAGUCCUUCCCAGGUCCCCACCGGAGGGCCAAACAUCACAGUCUCUUCAUCGCUGCUGGGGGACGAAGACUUCGCCUCGCAGUUCCACUCCCCACCAGCGAGGGCAGAAAGCACAAGCGAGCAGCCUGUGUUCGCCUCAGUGCAGACCCUGCAGGUUGCAGAGACACAGCCUCAGGCGCUGGUGCAUUCUCUGCCCUCCCCACCCGGCAACAGUGACAAUCGCACCAAUCAAAAGUCCCCUGGGGAGCUGGCCUUCAGAGUGCCAAAUCCACCGUCCCCGGCACAUAAAAUCAACAGUGUCUUGACCACUAGCUCAGGUACUGCUAGAUUGUGAGCUUUUGAAUCAAUGCUGUGUACAGAAAUCAAGAAGUGGUGUAUUUAAAGGAGUUUCUUUUCAGGGACUUUGCUGAUUUGAUGUUGUCGUCAUCCUUUCUUCACCAUUCGUUCAUCACCAUCAUCAUCAUUUUCAAGGUCAUCGUGUUUGUUGUUAUCGUAAUCAUCACCAUCAACAUUUUUUACAAUAAUAUCUUUAAAGUCAACAUGAGAUUGCAUUCACAUCCCAUUUUAUUUGCGCAACGUGACAUAUUUCUGAGUAAAAAAGUGAAAAAAUUUAAGACUUUUUAGGAUUUGAUAGAUAUAAUAUGAUAUUAUUGGUUAAUAUUCUUUUUUUAAAGAAAUUAAUACUUUUAUUCAGCAAGGAUGAUUCAAUUGUUUAAAAAACAUGACAGUAAAAAUAUUUAUAUGUUUCUAUUAAUUUUAAGUUAUUUAAAAAUCCUGAACAAAAAAUAUAUCACCGUUUCCACAAAAUUAUUAAGCAGCACAGCUGUUUUCAACAUUGAUAAUUAUAAUAAUAAGAAAUGUCUCUUGAGCAGCAAAUCAGCAUAUUAGAAUGAUUUCUGAAGGAUCAUAUGACACUUUUUUUACUGUAUUUUUGAUCAAAUAAAGACAAACAUGGUGAGCAUUACCAGCCCUUAUGGACCCUUUUUGAUAGGAAUGCAUGAUAAAUAUCAGCACGAUAUUAAUGCGCAUCUUGUCAGUAAAGCCGGUUCUGUAAUCAGCUGUAAAUAUCUACAUGUGCAUUCUUUCACAUGGAGCAGCAUUUACUACACAGAGCCGUUGUUCACUGACAAGCUACACAAAACAUGCGCAAAAUAUGAUCGUGGUUUUGCGCAGCUUAUUUAUCGUGUUCGUUGUUUUGCGCAGCAUAUUUAUCUUGCAUCCCUAUUUUUAGAACAGUGGUGUUAUUUUAGUAUCAUUGAGAUACUAUUGUAGUUUUUAGUAAUACUUUGAAUCAGUUUUUAUUUUUAUAUUUGUCAUAUAUUUUAAUAAAUAUAUUUUAUAUAUUUUCUGUUUUUAUUUUAGUUGUGUUAAAUUUUAAGUAAUUUUGUUGUGCUUUGCCAUUUUAAGUAGUUAUUUAUAUUUUCUGUGUAGUUUAAAUUUUUUUUUAUUGCAGUUGAAUUAUUUUAAGUUAUACUAAAUUCAUACUAAAAGCAUCCCUCUGAAAUAAAAUGUUUUAUUUUUUUCUUUUAUUUUUUGAUUAUUAUAACCCUGAUUGGGUGAACUUUGAUUUCAUGUUGACAUUAAAGCCGAAGUGUGUAAUUUUUGCACAUCCCAACUAUCCCCACAACUUUUACUCUCACUGAAUCUGUUCAUCUGAUCAGUGCAAGAUUGAUCAUUAUCUUCAGUUAUAUUCGGUUUGAUGACACAAGUGGUGCAAAAAUUACACACUUCAAUAAGUCCCGCUACUGCAUAAUCCCCAAGAGUUACAUCCGUCCUCUCCCACAUGUCCUAUGUGUCAUUCUUCACCAUCAGCGAGCAUUCAUGUGUGUCCUCGAUCUCACUUCCUGCUCCUGAGGUGACUCACUCAAACGUUCUCUGCUUUCAGACGAGACUCUUAGUGAAUUCCCCAGGAACCCUGAUCUUCCCA